CUUGUAUUCUUUAUUUUGAUUACCAUCCUAGGUCCUGCUUGGUCAGUUGAUGAAACAGCUGUGUCAAAACAGCAUCCUAAACAAAGUGAUCUUAGAAAAGCACUUCUAGGUGCCUGGUAACUGAUUGCCAUCAUAUUUUGGAAUUUUAUUUUCUUUCUUUGACAAUUGGAUUUAAUUUGCAACAUGAAGAGGCGCAAAUGAAGUUUCAACCACAUGAACAUGCCAUUUGCAGUUUUUUAUUUUUAUUUUUUUUUUCUUCUUGACCAAAUAUCGAAUUCCAACUGUUAUAGUGAACAUGACAUUUUCUUCUACUGCUUUGAUUCUUAAUUUAUGGGAUUAUGAUUCAUUAUACAGACAGCAGAGAGAAUCAGUAGUGUAAAGCGGUACAAGUCAUCAAACUAACUUUUGACAGGUGCCCCGCCCCCUUUUAAUGAAACCACGCCCCUUGCGCAAUAUGACAGGCGCCCCGCCCCUUUUAAUGAAACCACUCCUGUUGCGCAAUAGGUCUCCGCCCCCUGUGUGGUGAUGGUUGCCCAGCCCUUUCAUGAAACCACGCCCCUUGUGUAAUAGGGCCCCACCCAUUGCGCGUUGAUGGGUGUCCGCCCCUUUUUUUAUGAAACCACACCCAAUACGGCAUGUAAUAGAUACGCCCCUUUACAAUGUUCAUAGAGUCUGCCACCAUGUGAUUGUAUGAGGCACUACAUUCUAUGGUUGGAUGUUUAUUUAUUUUUCAUUUCAUUUCAUAUUACUGAAUAAAGAGGACAAGUCUGGACAUGUUUUGGAAGAUGUGUCUGGGGCCAGUUUUGAAAGUAGAGAACAAACCCAGAGGGCAAGUUUAUAUACAUCUGAGAAAUAAAUAAAUGCCAAAGUAACUCAUAUAACGAUAUUUAUUAGACAAAAAAAAAAAAAGCCGAUACACUAUUCACAGGAAAAGCAACAAUACAAUAGUCACAGGCAAAAGGGGUAAUACAAUGUAUGAAGGAAAAGCAAUAAUCAUCACAUGUUUUAGACAGAAAUGCAAUGAAUAAACAUCACAAAUUCAACCAAUCAGCAGGCUGCUUUAGUAUACGGGGGCGCUUGUUAGGUAGCAAAUAGCCGUGAGAUGUAGUUAAUCCCGGGGUGUUAAAAGAAAUAUUUGGUAACGAUUGUCUCUUUUGAAAAUGGGGUGUUAUGUCCCGAGUCUCGCUUGGAAGGAUCCGCAAUUUCAAUUGUUCCAAAUAUUCUCUAUUUGAUGUGUUGCCCACAACGGUAGACGGUACGUUCAGGUCAGCCAUAGCCUGAAGAAAAGUAUCCCAGCCCAGAGGUAAUUUACGUACCGUAACAUUGUGACUCUGGGUAACACUACGUACCAAAUCGAGUAUAUUUGAUCCCGGUACAACAGUGUUUUUAUAAACAAAUUCACCCUUAUCAUUCCAAGCGGUAAUGUGCUUAAAUUGAGACGUUCUACUCAACAAUCAGUUUUGAAAGUAGAGAACAAACCCAUAAUAGCCCCAAAAAAAUAAUUUCAUUUAGAGGAUGGAUAUUACUGAAUAAAGGGGAACAGUUCUGGACAUGUUUUUUGGAUGAUGUGUCUGGGACCUGUUUUGAAAGUAGAAAACAAACCCAGAGGGCAAGUUUAUAUAAAUCUGUGAAAUAAAUAAAUACCAAAUUAAGUCAUAUAGCAAUGUUUAUUAGACACGUAUGGCAAUGCAAUUAGAUCUAAAACCAAUAGUGCUUAGAUGAGCAAUGACAGACAGAUGGCAUCUACAACCAAGACAGGAUGACAGCCGUAACAAAAUCAACAAUUGAAAUGUUUUCCUUAAACACAGGGUACAGUAUGAUUGUUGACAGCCAGCUGGCAUUUACAGUCUAGGCUCUCAGGGUGACAGCUGUAACAAGAUAAACAGGUGAAUAGUAUUCUUUAAUCAUGAUGCCAAACAGCAUUAAUAAAUCAGUAUUAAAAUCCAUAUAUUACACACCAAGAGAAGCAGGUAGCUACGGUGAUAUUGAUAAAUUAUAUAACUCAAUUAAAAAACAUAACAUAAAAAGAACAGUUGUUAAAGAAUGGCUGACAGAACAGGACGCUUACACGUUACACAGGCCAGCAAGGCGACGAUUUGAGCGCAAUAAGAUUUGCGUCUCUAAUAUUGACGAACAAUGGCAAGCUGAUCUUGUGUCAAUGAUUGACUUUGCUAAGCAAAAUGAUGGUAUAAAAUAUAUACUGACCGUCAUAGAUGUGCUGUCAAAAUAUGCCUGGGCUGUGGCUUUGAAGAAUAAAUCAGGAAAAACCGUUGCUGAUGCUUUUCAGAAUAUAUUUGCAACGGGUCGUGUACCUCAAAAGUUGCAAACGGACAAAGGCAAAGAAUUCCUUAACAAGAGUGUAAAAGCAGUCUUUAAAAAAUGUGAGAUUAUACACUUUAUAACAAAUAAUAUGGUGAAGGCCGCUAUUGUGGAGCGUUUUAACAGAACAUUAAAAACUAAAAUGUGGCGCUAUUUUACUGCGCGCAAUACGUUCCGCUAUGUGGAUAUUCUGGCUGAUCUGAUAUAUAGCUGCAACCACACAGUACACAGAACAAUCCGGUGCGCUCCUGCAGCGGUGACGCAUGAAAACACACUCAGUGUGGAAAAACAUUUACGGGGAGUAUUUCAAUCGUAAAAGGAUUAAACCAGCGCUGAAAAUCGGAGACCAAGUCAGGAUAUCAAAGUAUAAAGACAUUUUCAGUAAAGGGUAUGAG